rnacentral:rRNA from 1 species
GAUUAUGGCUCAGGAUGAACGCUAGCUACAGGCUUAACACAUGCAAGUCGAGGGGCAGCAUGUUGGUUGCUUGCAACCAACGAUGGCGACCGGCGCACGGGUGAGUAACGCGUAUCCAACCUUCCGCAUACUCGGGAAUAGCCUUUCGAAAGAAAGAUUAAUGCCCGAUGGUUUCCCGAAUCCGCAUGAGCGCGGGAAUAAAGAUUCAUCGGUAUGCGAUGGGGAUGCGUCCCAUUAG